GUGAACGCUGGCGGUAGGCCUAACCCAUGCAAGUCGAACGGCAGCACAGUAAGAGCUUGCUCUUACGGGUGGCGAGUGGCGGACGGGUGAGGAAUACAUCGGAAUCUACUUUUUCGUGGGGGAUAACGUAGGGAAACUUACGCUAAUACCGCAUACGACCUACGGGUGAAAGCAGGGGAUCUUCGGACCUUGCGCGAUUGAAUGAGCCGAUGUCGGAUUAGCUAGUUGGCGGGGUAAAGGCCCACCAAGGCGACGAUCCGUAGCUGGUCUGAGAGGAUGAUCGGCCACACUGGAACUGAGACACGGUCCAGACUCCUACGGGAGGCAGCAGUGGGGAAUAUUGGACAAUGGGCGCAAGCCUGAUCCAGCCAUACCGCGUGGGUGAAGAAGGCCUUCGGGUUGUAAAGCCCUUUUGUUGGGAAAGAAAAGCAGCAGGUUAAUACCCCGCUGUUCUGACGGUACCCAAAGAAUAAGCACCGGCUAACUUCGUG
rnacentral:rRNA from 1 species